CUCAAAACUCUCGAGGAUGAUCACUGCCCUGAAUUUCCAGCCAGGGUUUCUGCCAAAGAUUAUGGGCAUUUUGACAAAGGAGAUACUGUAGGCAUCUGCACAUCUCUCCCCAAUUCAAGCUGCAGUUGGAGGAAAGGAGCAAGAACAAAAUGUUUCCAUUCUGUCUGAAGAUGCCAACAGGAAUAGUGUCAUAUCAUUUAGCCCAUGUAGCUCAUGGACCAUACACACUAAAUUAAACAGUUUUAGGGUGUAUGUUUUAGUCACUACAUGACUGUUCACAGAUCAAAGAGAGGAACACACAUUCUCCUUGUGAGUGAAUGCCAGGCCUCUCCUGUUGCAAACACAAGUAAGUUCAUGUUGGUAUCUAAAGCAACAGUUCAACUAGAUCUAUCAAAACAUUUCCAUGUUAUUACCUGCUGUAACUUGGCCAGUUUGACUAGGGGAGGAUACAUAAACCAUUACUUUGCUAUUCACAGGUCUUCUUCCAAGACUUCUUGUCUGAGCUGAGAAAGACUGCGCCUCAGCUUAAUUAGCCUCUCAAUGGCUGAGGUCACCCAGGCUCCUGAGUCUGCCAGCCCUCUGGGUAUGCCACAAGGGGAAGAAACAGUGGGGGGCCAUUUUCUCAGGAUGCCUCAAUUCAAGUUCUCCUUCAAGGUGGAGUUUAUUACAUAUGGUCAUCAACACUGUGUGUACAAAUCCUGAUCUCGUCGGCUAUGAGCGAAGGAGAAAUGGACAAUAAUGAAGGGUGCGAAAGCUGUGUACUAUGAGAGAACAGUAACAUCCCAGCCCAUGCAACAUCAUCUUGUCAGACUGUGCUUAAUGAGGCCACUGCUGAGCUGACUGAUUCUGAGGAUCUAACUGGGCAGGAAAAGACUCUCAUCUGAACUUGCCAACGCAUCUUCUCCAGAGGUAUCCUACACAGCUAAAUGGUCCUUUGGAUUGUGGAAUCAUCUAAUAACUUUGUAUCAUUUCGACUAUAUUUUUUCCACCCUACACCUGACUAUUCUCUUGAAGGAUUUCAUUAUGUAUGCUGAUGUUUAUUUGCAAUUAUAACUAUAUUUAGAUACCGUGAUGAGGACAUACAGUUAAGCCCUUGACAUUAAAAGUAUAAGAAAAAAAAUGACCAUCUGUGCACCCCCAGACCUUAAAAUGAAAGUGUUCACAAGGAACUAAUGUGCCAAAAGUUCUACAUGUGCCGUGUGUCAUGUGUCCUGUAUGUGUGAUUUUCAUUGGCUGCUGAGUUGAAAUAGCAAUCUCUUGACAUAAUUACAGAAUGCACAUCUAAAAUGAUUGCAGUUAUUACCAAUAACUACUCAGCACAAUUGUGAAAUAGGUACGGUACAAUAAUAACCGUUAUUAUUACUGUUAAUGACCGUUAUUAGUCCCAAUUAUUGGGAGAAAUGCAUAUUUCAUUACUGAUGUAUAAUGUAGCAACGAGUCCCCCAAAUACAUUGAUGUGGUUGCCUGCUCAAUCUCUGAGUUUUAACAGAUGUGUUCAUUCCACUCACUGUUUCAACUCAGCUAACACUAAACACCUUUUUCCACCACACAUGCAUUUUGAAAUGUUCAUGCGGGUUACUUUAUGUUGGACAAACCAAACAUCCUCUGAAACGGAACACAAUGCCACUUUCGUUAUUGCAACAUGGACCAUACAAUAGCGAGAUAUUAUGUUCACUCCAACCAUGGCUCCAACGAAUCACUCAAAUUCUGGGACCCAGAGAAGAGGAGAAACUAUAAUGAAACUCCUGAGAAAGGAAGCAUUUUGGAUUUAUACAUUUGACACUGUAGAACCACAUGGGCCGAGCUAAGAGCUUUGUCAUUCAUGUUCUCUAUGAUUAUAGGUCAUACACUCUUAAAACGAAUGUGUUAAAAACAACACAACUUGCGUUGUUUUAACUCAUCUCUGUGUCCUUUUUUUAACUGUUACACAAAACUUAAGUUGUUUUUUUCUAACACAUCUCUGUGUCCAGAUUAUAGGGACAACACAUUAUAGUGUAUACCCAAGAGGAUAAUACUGAUUGUGUUGUGAUGUUUCAUGUAUUGGGUGACUGACGACUGCGUUACACAGUGGCGUGUCAUCCCAUUUUUUCCUGAAAGAGUGCAGACAUGGCAUUGGGUGGUUGAUGCAUUACGCCUACCUACCUCCUACUGCUAACCAUCUGCCAUCUGAUGUGGCCCAUUGAGUGUUGCUGAUUCUGCGGUCCAAGGGGCUAGAGCGCAAAUGAUACCCUUUCCAAUUGCUCAGGCAACGUACAAUCAACAAAAUUGUUAUGCAUUACUCAAACACAUUUCUUUUCAUUGUUUCUAAGAUGGCAGUAUUUUCAGUUCUGUACUUCCUCCUUUUUUUGUAUAUUUACCCCACUUUUUGAAAAGCA